AGAAGAUGGCGUGGAGGGGCAUGUCUUACUACAAAUUAGAUUAGCAUAUUUUGCGGGAUACUAGCUUUUUUUCUGAGUCGUAGUUGCUGUCAGGUUUAGUAGCUUUAGUAACUUGUGGAUACUUACUCGAGACGUUAACUUUUUUGAACGGUUCAGCCUAUUUUUGUGGGAGGGACAAAAGUUUUGCGUUGUAGUCAUUGACUGUAAAAAGUUGCGAUGAACUCAAGUUUAUAAUUUAACUUCUUAUAUUUUGUCUUUAAGUUAAUUUAUUGAGUCUUUUCUUAAAUCUCCAGGUUUGUUGCUGUCAGAGCGUGCUAUGUGGCUCAGGAAAAACUUUUAAACUAUUAUUAGAAAUCAGUUUCAGCUGCAAUCGGCAACAAUAUGAAGAUCGUUUUAAAGAUCAUUCUGUUUCUACUACCGACAUGCGGUGUGUUUAGUGCUGAAAGGAAUGUGUCAAUGUCAGUAAUAGGGGGACAGUCUGCGACUCUUACUGUGGACCUUAACACUACUGAUAUAAAGGAAAUCAAUCGACUGAUAUGGAGGUUUUUAAAAAAUGGAAAUAAACUAAUCGCUAAAAUCAGUGGAAAUGGAAUCACCUAUCCUCCCAAUGGCACUGAGAUAUUCAGAGGCAGACUGAAGCUGGACAAUCAGACCGGAUCUCUGACCAUCAUGAACAUUAAAACCUCAGAUGCUGGACUUUAUAAAGCAGAGAUCAACAGUAAUAAUUUGAAUUUAAUUUUUUUCUUCAAAGUUACAGUCAAUGCUUUAUCUCCAGGUGCUGUGGCAGGAAUAUCUGUUGUCGUUCUUCUGCUGGUGUUUGCAGGAACAGCUGCUUUUGUGUAUUACCAUCACCACAAAUUACCUGAUAUAAGACAUGGAGAGAAGAUAGUGUCUGUGAAGGAGAGAGAAUCUGUCACUCUAAAGCCUGAUGCUGUAAUUCAGAGAGAUGAUCGGAUACUGUGGACGUUUGGACCGCAAGAGACUCGUAUUGCUGAAGUCAGUGGACAUACCAGAGAGAUUUUCACAGGUGAUGGUGCUGAUGGGAGAUUCAGAGACAGACUGAUGCUGGACUCUAUGACUGGAUCUGUAACAAUAACAAACACAGCAAGCGAACAUGUUGGAGUCUAUAAACUGAAGAUCAUCAGCAGCACAGGGACCUCAUACCAAACAUUCAUUCUUACUCUCACACAGGAUGUGAUGUCAGUGACAGAGGGAAGUUCUGUCACUUUAAACCCUGACACAGAAAUACAGAAAAGCGAUCUGAUCCUGUGGAUGUUUGGAGAUGAAGACAGUCUCAUUGCUCAAUUGCAAAAGACCAGAAAGACCAGAGACACAUUCGACGGUCCUGAUGCGAGAUUUAAAAAAAAACUGAAACUCGACAAGAAGACUGGAUCUCUGACUAUCACAAACAUCAAAAUCAAUCACACAGGACUGUACAAACUACAGAUCAGUAACAGCAGCAGGGCAACCACAAGCAAGAACUUCAAAGUGCUGGUAAACUUCAUCAAAGUGUCAGUGACAGAGGGAGAUGCUGUCACGCUAAAGGUUAAUGAUAAAAUUGGUAAAAAAGAUCCGAUACAGUGGCUGUACGAAGAAGAAAACACUCUUAUAGCUGAAAUUAAGGAAGGGAGCAGGGAGAUCCUUACACAUGAUACAACUGAUGGGAGAUUCAAAGACAGACUGACUUUGGAUGGCAAGACUAGAUCUCUGACCAUCAAGAACACCAGACCUGAACACACUGGACUUUAUACACUACUGAUCAACGGCAGCAAAGGGGCAUCGGACAAACGGUUCAUCGUUAUUGUCAAGGCGAGUAUGAUAUUAGGAAAGCAGGGAAAAAACACCACUCUGAAUGUUAACGCUGAAUUACAAAGAGAUGAUCUGAUCCUGUGGAUGUUUGGAGACGAAGACAACCUCAUAGCUCAAGUGAACGGAGAAACCACAGAGACCACAUUUACUGAAGCCGACGAGAGAUUCAGAGACAAACUGCUGCUGGACAAGAAGACUGGAUCUCUGACCGUCAGAAACAUCACAAGCCAACAUUCCGGAGCUUAUAAACUACACAUCGUCAGCAGCAGGAGGACCUUUUACAGGAGAUUCAGAGUUUUUGUGUGUGGUUAUUCUGAUCCAAACACAGUGUCUGUGAUGGCAGGAGAAAGCUUAAUUUUGAUCACUAAUUUUGAUGUAGAGCAAGAUGAGAAGCUGCAGUGGACAUUUGAAGAUGAAGAUGAAGAUGUGAUUCUAGCAUCUGGAAUGAACGGAGACGUCAGUAAGACUUCAUACGGGGAUGAUAAGAGAUUCAGAGGCAGACUGGAGCUGCACCAUCAAACUGCAUCUCUGACCGUGAAAAACACCAGAAGCAGCGACACUGGAGUUUAUCAGCUGAGGAUCUGCAAUGGACGCGGGCAGAACUUUUGCUUGAAUGUCAAUGUUACAAUUUCUGUGAUCUUGUUAACCGAAGUGAUGUGCUGAGACAGUGACACGAGUGGUGUAAGCAAGAGAAAAAUCAAAAAACCUUCUGAAACCUCGUAUUUUCAGGUGUCCCUGCUUGAUUAUAUCAUCACAAAUACUAAAAGCUCUUUCCAACGAUCUGCUGGAAGAUGACUCCAGAAACGCACUGACUGAAUCAGUAAAUAUACAGAUGCCGCAAUCGAGAAAUUGAAUAAUUUGUGAGUUAAACGGACCUUCCUGAAAACCUGUAGACACUUUCAAAGCUUUAGAUUUGAUACAUUGGAAAAAAUGCCUUAGUUUUUUGUUGUUGUUGUUUUUGUUUUUAAACAUUUGGACAAGAAACUAGACAAAUAAUCAAAGUAAGAAAAGCCUUUUUUUUCAGGAAGUUGAACCUGUGCAUGUUAAUGACUUACAAUCGUUUGUAAAUAAAAUGCAAGUGCAGCUAUUGGCAGGUUUGUCUGUUUGAGAAAAAGUGUUUUGACUAUUUAUCCAGCAGAGGGACAUAUAGAUCUGUUCUUUGUGGGGUUGAAAUUAACUUUGUCUGUGAUCUCAAUGUUUGAUAUUUGUUGCAUUACAUUGAUGUCUAAUGAAACGACUGUUUACCCAAAAAUAAACAUUUACUCAUUA